AACAACAAAGGACAGUGGUGAGCCCAGUUGGAUGCAUGAUCAGACGAAGAAGAUGGAACGUAGGUGUGAAGGGCAUUUUCGAAAAGGUGCGGUUGCGGUGCUUUCGCCAAGGUCUACCACGUUAGGAACAUCACCGGCCGCCACAACAUCGCCGUCAUAAUCAUCAACAAGAAGAAGAUCAUCGGAACUAGUUUGAUGUCCAACGUCAAACGCGAGAUCUCUCGUCUUUGGCCCCAACAUCAAGAUCAACUGGAAAGAGGAGAGAUUGGUGAUUUCAAGAUGUUGUCGAGCGUGACAGUGAACAACAUUGUGCUGGAUGAGCUUGGGGAGAAGUUCGAGAAACCGAAGACUAAGGAUUUCAUGGUGAGAUCUCUUUUUAUCUUUUUCAAUUUUCGCAGCCCCACAUCUCUUUUGAUUUAUAAGAUAUAUUUUUAAUCAAAUUUAUUGUUUGGGUUAAAUUUCUAGGAUUUGUUUUGUUUGAAAUCUAAUGGACAAUUUCCAGUGGUUGGGCGAGGUGGAGAAAUAGAGGUUGCGAUGGCGGUAGCGACGGUGGUAUGGAGAAAGUGAGGUGGAGAUGAGAGAUUUUCGAGGGGGAUAUUUUAUGUUAUACCCCCAUUUUUGGCAGUGAGAGACGCUAGAGCUCAUUUGUCUCCGUUGUAUUGAAGGUUUUGGGUCCUUAAAAUGAUCAUCCAUAUAUGAUCAACAGUGUUAAUUCCGUGGAUGCUGAAUGUGGUGUUGAUAGAGAAUAAUAUAGAUGCAAGACCAAUUUCUUCUCAAGUUUUGGCAUGCUUGCUGCCAUUACCUUGGGUUGUGUUUUUUGAAGAUUUGGCAAAUCCCACAAGCCAUCAAAUUUUGUUCCAUCAAUUAUGAGUCUGGCUCUCACAUGAUGCAAUGACAUUGAUGAUGCAUGGGUGGUGCCCAUGUUAGAGGGUGGUGGUGGUUGUGGCUGGUGGCAGGAGAAUUGGGUGGGUUUUGGCAGGUUUUGAAUGGGGGUUGGGUAUGAAUGGGUCAGUAACCCAUUUCCAACCUGCCAAUGGGGGUAAUUAAAUGGGUAAGUGUUGCCUUUGUCGUUGUUGUUUACUGAAAUGCACCCCCUUUGAUAAGAACAAUACAUAACCUAUUUUCAUGUGUUCAGACUCACUGGGAGUUCGGCAUUGAUUUGCUUGUUUUCUUACACGGCAGGAAAAGCUAACCACUAUGUGGGAAAGGUAAUCAAUAUGUCGAACUUGUACUUUUCUAGAACUUGGAGGAUCAAUGAAAACGAGCAAGUUGGUUUAACCGUGUUUUAGAUUGACCACUUCAAGAUUUGGCCCUGAUAUUUCAGUUCAAUUUGUGUUAAAGUUACCUGAUUUGACUCAGAAGCAUACUGUUGUUCAAAGGAGACCUGUUUUUCCUGUUUUUCUCUCAGUUAUAGAGGGACAACGAUCUACAGAAUCAUAGACACCAGGAUAUUUGAAUCCUAUUGUGGACCGCUAAGAAUUGGCCCACCUUAUGUUGUAAGAAAAUCUGAUUUCUUUGUUAUUGAAAGUAAAAUUGUAAUUCCAGUUUUGACAGUGCCUCAAAUGAUAAAAUUAGAAGCAUGAGUUUAUUUUGUGUUCAAGACUUGAUUUUCCACCCAUAAUUCUUUGAAUCAAUUGGACCUCUUAGUUCGACUCAAAUUCUCUAUUCAUUUGCGUCUGUAGAUGUGUUGACGUCUUCGUUUAAAUUUUUAUUUUUAGCCAAGUUUGACGUAUAUUGGCACAACUGGGCUAUGAGAAGCUGGAUAAUUUAAUAGGAUGUACAAGGAUCUAUCAAGACCUCAAGAUAUCUCCCUGAUGACAACUCUACAUUUUGAUCAUAGUUAUAUUAUUCCGAUUGUUGGAUUACCAAAAUUGAAGCAGCAAGACUAUUAAGGAAUCAGGAUUUUCAUAUUAAUGGUCCUGCUUAAGAUGAUUACUCAGAUCCAGAGGUAACAAUUAUUGAUUACCAAUGGUAAGUUGGUAACAUUUACAGUUAAUUGAACUUACAGUGAAUUGAUCAAGGUACUUAUUGGUAUGUCUUCUGAUUUGCUUAUAUUUUUCUUCUCUGUAUAAAUCAUCAAGAGGAAAAUAAUCUUUGUCUCAUUAUUGUUCAUUAAUGGAGAAAACUAAGAAAACCUUGAAAGGGUGAUUUUCAUUCCUUUUGUUUCUUCUUUUAUUUAACAACUAUCUUGAAAGAGGCCACAGAUUUUGUUAUAGUAAAUGAGAAUAAGAUAGUGCUAUUAGUUCUUUUCCUACCAAGCUAUUUCAUGCAUAGUGUAGUGAUUGCAACUAGGCUCCUAAGUUUCAAAACAUGGUUUGAACUUCCUCACUUUUGAAAUUCAACUAUAUUUUAGAAGAUCGGAUAUACAAUUUUUUCUUAAAUACCACGAAAGAUCAUUGAAGUCUAAGACAAUGCUUGAUGUUUAGAUAAAUAUAUCUUUUGGUUCGUAAAAAAAAAAAAAAAUUGACUUCAUCGAAAUAUCCAACAUUAUCUUAACGAAUCAUUAUUCUUGUGUUGCACUCCAAUUUUUUAUGUGGUCCAGCCGAACUCUCUACCUACGUCGUCUACAGAGAGAAGAGAUUCCACUAUUCAUUAAUGAAGAGAAGAGAUAUUACAAUUGUAGAGAAUACAGUUUUUCUACCUCAUAAGAAAUCACUCAUCUAACUCCAAGGCUCUUUUUGGGUUCAUAACAAACCCACUCUUUCAGGACCAAGAGCAAACCCACUUUCUAUAAGGCUACAUCUCUCUACUUUUACACCCACACUUUUCCCUUCUCACUCACUCAUUCCAUUCUUUUAUUCUUCUCUACCUUCUCCAAACAACUCCCUCUGAAGCAUCUGUGCAUAGAGCGCUCGUAUGUAAUACAUAUAUAGUUGACUAAAUUUGGGAAUAAUGAUAUAAAAAAUCACCACUAUAUGUUAAGUGCAUACCCUUAAUUAUGCUGUUACAUCAUUUGCAAAGGACUUGUGCACUAGAAUGAUUUGUUUCUUCUAAGCAGUGGUUAAGUGGUGAAAAAAACUAACACAGACAUGGUACCUUUAACCAUAUAAUUAAAAAAGGAAUUGAUGUCUAGUUCUAUUACCAUUGUACCAUGAUUGUCAAAACUUACAUGUGUGUGUGUGUGUGUGCAUUAUACUUAUAAUUCAAUUUAAGUUAUUGUUGGCACUAUAAAUUUUGAAAAAUACUGACUUAAAUAAAAAUACUAAUAAUUCAAUUUAAGUUAUGGUUGUAGGUGUAUUGAGUGCAAAUCAUGUUGAGAAUACUGGGUUAGGAUGCCACUGCUUACAUGGGUUGGGUGUGUGCAGGUCGAAUACGGGUCACCCAAGUUUAAUAAGAUGAUCGUUCAUCCAUGGUGGCUAGCUAUUCUGGGACAAUUACUUGAACCCUUGUUUCAACGGCAUUUUGUUUUUAUAAUUGGUAGGUAGGUGGUUUUGAAUAUUCAUGGUAGGUGGGUGGUGUUUUUAUAAUUGUAGGUAGGUGGACAAACACAAAUACACCCCCCUUACAUCUACUAUGUUGAGUAUUUCUGUUAUACUCGAAUAGGACAAUGGAGAUGUGAAUUGAAAAUUUUCAUAUAGAAAGAAACAUGAGAUAGCGGAGAAGAUAAAUUAACCACAAAAAGUAGGAAAAAUUUGGAUCUACAUAAAACUGCUUACUUACACCUACCAAUUGUAAAUACUUUAAUUUUUAUUUUUUAUUUAAAAAAAAAUGAGAAUUAAGAUAAUAUAUCUAGAAUCUCCAAAUAAUAAUAUCAGGCCUUCGAUUUGGUUGAAGGAUACACAUUGUGAUAACCAGAAAAUAUGUAAAUUUUAGAAUCUUUUAGCUUUCUUUUCUCAACACGAAGCAAACUAAGCAUGAAGCAGACACAUUUUGAUAACCAGAAAAAGGGCCAUAUAUCAUAUACUGAUACAAGAAUGCAAGGAAGUUAAGGGCUUGUUUGGUUUGUAAUUAUGAAAAUAAUUUUUUGUUCUCAGAAAACUGUAAAAAAAUCUCUGCUUGGUUCAGUUUUCAGAAAACUGUUUUAUGAAAACUCAAUUAUAAAAAUGUCUGCUUUCAGAGAACUAUAACUCUGCUUGGAUUGGUACUGUUCUGGGAGUUCCCAAAAUUCAGAAAACCAAUUUUUGUUCUACUUGGAUCUGUUUUCAUAGAACGGUUUUUAAAAAACUGAGAACUCAUAGUAUCAGUUUUUGGAGAACAACUUUUAGGUGUUCUGAGAGUUUUGGAAACUCAGUUCUCAUUUUUUAGAAAACACGGAGAACGCCCUCGACUUAAAAAAUGAUGGUACUUUCGCGUUCGUUUAAAACACUCAUCCUUCAUCAACCCUCUCUCUCCUCUCUGAUAGACCUGACGACUCGCUCUUUCUCAACUGACUCACAGACUCAUCAUCAUUCUUUAGCAUCUACUCUCUCGCCUCAUCAGUAGAUCAAGAAUCCCUUCAGGUAAUCUUCAAUCGCUGUUUCUCGAACAAAGCCCUAAAAAAUACACCAUCUUUAAGAUUCACUCUACUCUUGUUAUCGAUCUGGUAAAAUAACUUUGAUUUGCUUUUUUUUUUUUUUUGUCUCUAGUUUUAUUGUCGAUUUUGUUGGCUGAAUUUGCUUUGGUUGUGGCUGGAUUUUGGUUUUCUUGUUUUCCAUUUUGUUGUUGAUGGGGUUUCUCUUUUUAUUUUCAUAUAUAUAUAUAUAUAUAUAUAUAUUGUAUGUGCUUGGCCUUUGUCUUUUAAAAUAGAUGCAGUCCAUUCAAAAAACGAAUUAGGGAUCUGUCUUUAAUUUUUUUUUUUUUUUUUUGUUCCCUGUUUGGAAAACCCAUAAACAGAUAACUAUGAAUUUUUUUUUUUCUUGUGAACAGAGAACUUGUGAAUAUAUAUAUAUAUAUAUACACACAUGUACAUGUGUUAAAUGUGUGUGUGAUAUUUGCUUGCAAGAGGUUCAUGCUACAUUGGGUCAUAUACACCAUCCCCUUCACAAUCUAUCUGCGGAUUUGGACUGUAAGACCAUUGAUGAGGAAAAAAAAGGUAAGACCAUUGAUGAGUGGAUUGCAUAUUUAAUUGUCUCCUGAGGAUCCUAGUAUUCGCGAAGUUGAGUCUGAAGAUUGAAUUGUGAGGAGGGCAGUGAGAGAAUCAAACUGUGGAGAGUUGAUUCUGUUCUUGUAUAAUAGCUAAUUUAGAUUGAAUAUUAAAUAGAUUUACUUUAAUUUAGACUGUAUAUUAAAUAGCUAAUUGUAGCAUUCUUUUUUUCUUGACAUUCUUACCAAUAAUUGUAAUAGGGUUUGAAUUAAAUAAAUUUAUCUAGAUAAUUCUAGAUGCCUCUCUUUAUUUUUCCUAUGUGAUCUUAAUUCUCUACUUCUACAUAAACUCUUCUAAGUCUUGUACAAAGUAUAUAAAGUAUUUAUACAUUAUUGUCUUUGAUUUAUUUUGUCUAAUGAAAUCAACUAAAUUUUUUAUUAUUAUUAUUAUAAUUGUAGGUAACCCUUGUUGCACGAUUCAUAAUUUUAUUGGUCAAAAUGCACUAGUUGGUUACAUUUUUUAUGGAGUAUGAAGAAGGAGAUGAUGUUGUUGGUGAGGGGAAUGACAGCACAAGUCAAGGACCGAAUGCGGUCAACUUCUAUGAAGCAAAGUCUCAUGGGAUAGAAUCACAUACCUUUACAAGUGAUGUUCAUCCAAAUUUGAUCUAGAUGUUCAUCCAAGUAGAAUCACAUAUUUCAUUUUUUUCCAUGUCUUUUAAGUUUAGAUGAGAAGUGAGAUGGUUUAUGUAUGUAGACAUUGAAUUGAUGUAAUGUUAUGAAUGAAUGAAACCCAGAAUACAAGAGCAGUUCUUUGCUACACAA